rnacentral:rRNA from 1 species
GGGUGGGGCGCCCCCCGGUGGGAUAACUACUCUCUACCCGGGCUAAUACCGUAUGGUUGUAUGAACCGCAUGGUUCAAACAUAAAAGGUGGCUUCGGCUACCACUUACAGAUGGACCCGCGGCGCAUUAGCUAGUUGGUGAGGUAACGGCUCACCAAGGCAACGAUGCGUAGCCGACCUGAGAGGGUGAUCGGCCACACUGGGACUGAGACACGGCCCAGACUCCUACGGGAGGCAGCAGUAGGGAAUCUUCCGCAAUGGACGAAAGUCUGACGGAGCAACGCCGCGUGAGUGAUGAAGGUUUUCGGAUCGUAAAGCUCUGUUGUUAGGGAAGAACAAGUACCGUUCGAAUAGGGCGGUACCUUGACGGUACCUAACCAGAAAGCCACGGCUAACUACGUGCCAGCAGCCGCGGUAAUACGUAGGUGGCAAGCGUUGUCCGGAAUUAUUGGGCGUAAAGGGCUCGCAGGCGGUUUCUUAAGUCUGAUGUGAAAGCCCCCGGCUCAACCGGGGAGGGUCAUUGGAAACUGGGGAACUUGAGUGCAGAAGAGGAGAGUGGAAUUCCACGUGUAGCGGUGAAAUGCGUAGAGAUGUGGAGGAACACCAGUGGCGAAGGCGACUCUCUGGUCUGUAACUGACGCUGAGGAGCGAAAGCGUGGGGAGCGAACAGGAUUAGAUACCCUGGUAGUCCACGCCGUAAACGAUGAGUGCUAAGUGUUAGGGGGUUUCCGCCCCUUAGUGCUGCAGCUAACGCAUUAAGCACUCUUGCCGGGGCCCCGCCCGCC